rnacentral:lncRNA from 1 species
AGGACAAAUCCAAGUCCAUUGCAUCCAAGAACAAUCUCGGCAGAUUCCUUCCAUGACUUGAAGUUCAUCCCAGUCAGCAUAGGGAUAAUAUUGAUUUGAGCAGCGAAAUUGGGAGCGGUGACAACAACAACUAAAAGAAGAGAACAACAAGCAUACACUAACAUUUGUGAGCAUCUCAACAUACAAUAAUAGAGACAUGCACAAAAAUCUAUACAUGUAAAUUAAAUAAAAACAAACAAGAUAUUUAACGCACCAUUAAUUUCCAAUCUUUGGACUGUAAAAAAUUAACUCUUAGCGCAAUGAUCAAAUACUGACAAUAAUUCCGGUCACUUUGGGGCACCCCAUUAUUCACAUGGAUAUAACUUUUAUAAUCGACACAUUUACCAUCACAAGUG